ACUCCUACGGGAGGCAGCAGUAGGGAAUCUUCCACAAUGGGCGCAAGCCUGAUGGAGCAACACCGCGUGAGUGAAGAAGGGUUUCGGCUCGUAAAGCUCUGUUGUUAAAGAAGAACACGUAUGAGAGUAACUGUUCAUACGUUGACGGUAUUUAACCAGAAAGUCACGGCUAACUACGUGCCAGCAGCCGCGGUAAUACGUAGGUGGCAAGCGUUAUCCGGAUUUAUUGGGGCGUAAAGAGAGUGCAGGCGGUUUUCUAAGUCUGAUGUGAAAGCCUUCGGCUUAACCGGAGAAGUGCAUCGGAAACUGGAUAACUUGAGUGCAGAAGAGGGUAGUGGAACUCCAUGUGUAGCGGUGGAAUGCGUAGAUAUAUGGAAGAACACCAGUGGCGAAGGCGGCUACCUGGUCUGCAACUGACGCUGAGACUCGAAAGCAUGGGUAGCGAACAGGAUUAGAUACCCUGGUAGGCUAGCG
rnacentral:rRNA from 1 species